rnacentral:rRNA from 1 species
AACGAACGCUGGCGGCAGGCUUAACACAUGCAAGUCGAACAGGUGUAGCAAUACAUCAGUGGCAGACGGGUGAGUAAUACGUGUGAACCUUCCUAGGGGUACGGACGAACUCAGGUAAACGUGAGCUAAUACCGUAUACGUCCGUGAGGAGAAAGAUUUAUUGACAUUAGACGGGCCCGCGUCGGAUUAGCUAGUUGGUGGGGUAACGGCCUACCAAGGCGACGAUCCGUAGCUGAUCUUAGAGGAUGAUCAGCCACACUGGGACUGAGACACGGCCCAGACUCCUACGGGAGGCAGCAGUGGGGAAUCUUGGACAAUGGGCGCAAGUCUGAUCCAGCCAUGCCGCGUGAGUGAAGAAGGUCUUCGGAUUGUAAAGCUCUUUUGCCAGGAACGAUAAUGACGGUACCUGGAGAAUAAGCCCCGGCAAACUUCGUGCCAGCAGCCGCAGUAA